AAUAUAAAUGAUGAAUAAUAUUCCUUUUUGAUAAUAAUCCUAAUAUAAAUGAUGAUAAUUAUUUUUCAUGAAAAUAAUCCUAAUAUAAAACAUAGUGAUGAAUAAUAUUCCUUUUUGAUAAUAAUCCAAUUUAAUAAUAAUCCACUUUAAUAAUAAUCCAAUUUAAUGAAUAAUCCAAUAUGAUAAUAAAAAAAACCUAAUAUUAAUGAAUAAUAAUCCUAUUUGAUAAAAAAAUAAUCCUAAUAUAAAACAUAGUGAUGAAUAAUAAUCCAAUUUGAUAAUAAUCCAAUUUAAUAAUAAUCCAAUUUAAUGAAUAGUCCAAUUUGAUAAUAAGCCAAUUUAAUGAAUAAUCCAAUUUAAUGAAUAAUAAUCCAAUUAUCUUAAAAAUAAUCCUAAUAUAAAACAUAGUGAUGAAUAAUAAUCCAAUUUGAUAAUAAUCCAAUUUAAUAAUAAUCCAAUUUAAUGAAUAGUCCAAUUUGAUAAUAAGCCAAUUUAAUGAAUAAUCCAAUUUGAUAAUAAUCUAAUUUAAUGAAUAAUAAUCCAAUUUGAUAAUAACAAAACCUAAUAUUAAUGAAUAAUAAUCCUAUUUGAUAAUAAAACCUAACAUUAAUAAAAUAAUAAAUAACAUUAAACAUAUUAAAAUUAUCCUAGGGAAUAAUUAUAUGUCACAGCCCGUCCCGGAAUUUUUAAUUCCGAGGACGUGAAAUUACAAAAACGCCCUUAAACGGGAUUAAGGUGCGUAAUUUUGGUGUUUGUUUUACUUAAAAUUUCUAAGCUAUUGUUGUGUUGGACUUUAGGUAGGGUCCUAUACCCUAAUUUCCUCCCCAUUUUUCGUAACCUUUCCUUCUCUUUCUUCUUCUUCCAUUUCAGAUCUCUCUCUCUCUCUCUCACCCUCUCGAACACACGGCAACCACCAAGAACCACCACAAUCUUGUACCAACGUUCCAUUUAAGACCACCAUCGUGAUCCUGGGGACUUCACGAGCACGGGGAUACCAAUUUCAGGUGAGUUUCACUUCGAAAACCCUAGUUCUAAAGUUGCCGUGAGAUGACACUGUUCAUGAGCUUUUGAAUUGGUUACGUUUUUAGGCUAAAACAAGAUCACAACGGAGUUUAUUAAGGUCCCAAGGAAGCUUGGAGUGCUUCGUUGGAAGUUUUUGGACGUAAGAACACGGAGAUCGACAAGUUCAAAGUUUGGCCGGAGCUUUCGAGGCGUUUUUCCGGCGAAUCCCUGGCGAGUUAGGAGUCGAGGUAGGUAUCAAUCUCUUCGUCUCGUCAAGUACUACAACUUUCCUUUUUUGUUUCACUCAAUUUCGUUGAGUAUUGAAGAAGUUAUACUCAUUUGAAAAAUACCCAGUUUCCGGCGACCUCCGAGGCUUUCGAGGCAGUUUCCGGCCAAACUACGGCGAACUAGGUGUUGUGCAAGGUACCAUUCUCUUUGUCUCUUCAAGGGCUACAACUUUAGUUUUUGAAUCACUUGAUUUCGUUGAGAAAUGACAAAGUUAUGGCAAUUUGAAAAACUGCCCGGAAAACGGCCGCCGGAAAAACCAGUCCGGCGACCCAAGGAAGAAGAAGGUGCUACAGUAAAAAAUAAAAAAUAAAAAUAAAAUUAUUUUAAAAAUAUGUCGACGUCCGUGACGUCGAGUAGAUCACUGUGGUAUAUUCAUAUACCUAAAUUGAACACCGUAUGAGAAAGUUAUUGAGGAUUGUUGGUUAGGUGUUCAAAUAACGUUUUAUAAUUUUCACAUUAGGUGAAAAUGUGAAUUGAUGAUCCGACCGUUGGAUCAUCACCAAACUUUGAUACGUUGCAAUACGUAAUAUUUGAGGAUUAUUGGAACUUACAGAUUGGGAAUCCGAUUUGCGGAUCUUCCGGAAUUGGAAUUGUAAGUCCAUAAUAUAAAAUGUUAACCGUCACUUAGUUUUGGAAAUUGACGGAGAUCCGACCGUUGGAUGGUAAUGAAAUUUUAGGAUGUUGUCCUAGAGGUAUAAUGUGGACCUCUGGAAGUUAUGGAUUUAAAAUCUGAGGGGUGGAUCUUCCGGAUCAAUCUACGUAGUGACGUAUUUUAUAUAAGUUAUAUAUUCUAUCGAUAUGAAUUCUGAGGUUGGAUUUGAUUACUAUUCUAGGCGGCGAUCGUCGUGACGCCUUGAUGUGUGGUGCUAGGGAGUUGUUGGACGAACUCCAGGUGAGUGGGCAGUUUUGUUUUCCGUAUAUAUAUAUAUACUUAACGUUUUCCCAGAAAUUGAAAAUGCAUGAAAUUAUGUUUAAAAUGAAAUGCAUAUGAGUUAUGUGGAAAAACGGGAAGUGAAAUACCAUGCAUAGAAUUGAUAUGAAAAGUAUAUAGAAAUGUGAGUUGAAAUGCCAUGCAUGAAUUAAUAUAUGAUGCUUAUGUAUGAAUUGGUGCGGUGGACGCACAGGUAAGAAUUGAUUUAUGAUGCAUAUGUAUGAAAUGGUGCGGUGGACGCACAGAUGAGUAUUUAAAUUACUGUUAUGAUGAUGAUGAUAUAUAUUGAGCUCAAAUCCUGCACCAUGGUUUAGUGCUUAUAGUAUUCACCGCAUCGCACGCUCGCCUUGGAUCCAAGUAGAUGCUAGUCGUACAGUCCACGCGGAGUGGGUACGACAGACCAGUCGCGAGAGUGUUAGUGAGAUUCCGACUGGUGGGUGACCUUAGAUUAUGUGCACAGAUGAUUUAUGAGAAGCACUAGAGCGUAACUUGUGUGCAGAAGGCCGGACGGGUCACAGAGGUGACUCCGGUAGAGUGAUAAUGAUAGAUUUUGAGCUCUAGGUUCAACCGUAUAGGGCUAUUAGAGGGCCUACGGUUGAUUACUUUCUUGCACCUGAUAUGAUUAUGUUGAUGCAUUCAUACCUUAUUACUGUUGAGAUGAUGUGGCAUGGCAUAAUUAAUAUGAGAAAUGUUGAGAUGACAUGGCAUGGCAUGAUUGAUAAAGAGAUAAUGUUGAGAUAGUAAAAAUGAAGUUUUGAGAUUAUAUAUGUAUAUUUAUAUUUUACAUUUCUGGGAAAGUAUACAGGUUUUACGGAGAGGGGUUACAACGUUUUGAGAAAUGUUUGGAUUUGGAAAAGAAUUGUUUUACUGACCCACUCAAUUUUGGUUUUGCGCCCCUCCAGGUUCAGGAAUCACAAAGGUGUGGUGACUACGAGGAAUACAGCGGGGUUCUGACAGAUUUGGACAAAAUUAGGACUCACCUUCGGGUGUAUCAACUUAUAAAUUGUAUCUUAAAGCUUCCGUACUGUGCAAAUGGUUACGUCACUCUCACGUGACGGCCAGCAUGCCCUCCUUCGGGACGGGGUGUGUCAGUUGGUAUCAGAGCAUGGUUGCAAUUUUGGACAUUUUGAGAAGUUCUAGUGAAUUCUGUCAGAACUACACCGCCUCGUACCAAACCACGUAGUUAGAGGAACUUAGUCUCCCUAAUUUAGCGGUUUUGGGGGAAACUAUUACUAUGGUGAUUCAGUCUAUUGUCUAAAGGGACAUUUUAAGACGGGUUAUGAGUUGAAUUUGAAUCACCUUAUGGAAUGAUCAACCUGAGGGAACGAAGUGACGGAUUAACCAAUUGGAAAAGAUGUUUCGGAAUAUGCAAGUUAAAGGAAAUUUCCUUCUGACAGGUGGGUCGAGACGACUACCUGGUUUUGGGUAUGAAAUUGUAUCCUGGUGGAAACAGGAAUGUUAAUUGUUGUCACCAGAGGAAUCAGCCGAUUUAAAAUUUUUUAAGGAAAAGUUUAUCCCUCCGGCAUUUAUCGAUGGUAGUAAGCAAGAGUUUGCAAAUGUGAAUCAAGGAAGUUGACGAUAAAGUUAAUGAUUCGUCAUAUCAAGGAUAUAGAAAGAUUCAGAGCUUCGAAAGAAGUGAAGCUAGAGUUAAUUCUUCCAGCUGAGGUUUUAAUGUCGCUGGUCAGAGUAAAAGUGAUGGAUAUACUGGUAAUCCCAGAUAUUUGAGACAAAGUGUCUCGAGUAAAGGAAAUGUACCUUGUGCAGCAGGUACAAAAUUAACACUUUGGGAAAUGUGAAAUUAAUGAAUGUGUUUAUGUGAACAGAGGGGACACAGAAUUGUGAAUCGUCCCUAGAAUCAGUUGUACUCAAUAAUUUUCCAUGAUAUCAUAGUGUCGAUUCAGCAGGUUUAUGGACUUAAUAGUUUGGUCAGAUUGACCGUGGGUACAGAGAGAUUUGAUGAGUUAUAUGUUCAGCCGUACAGACCACGAGAGGUGGAUUUGACUGACACAUGAGAAAUUGGUGAGUUAUAGGCUCGGCCGUACCGACCACGCGGAGUGGAUCUGGCCGACGCAUUAUUGAGGUAAUUGUUGAAUCAGCCGUACAAGUCAUUCUAGUUGACUCUGGCUGAUAUAUAUAUAUUUUAUUAUGAUUGAUAUUACCUAGAGAGUAGUAAAUAAAUGUAGUUGAGACGAGUGUAUGUAUUUUGCAUUGAGUGACAAAAUAGUAAUGUUAUAUCUUUGAGAGUGGUUGCCUACUUAUCGAGACAACGAUGAUUUAUCAGUAUUGCGGGCUGCAGACCGUAAUAUUAAUAACUCAUUCGUGGAUUCGUUAAGCAAGCAACUCGGUAGAUUAUUUUAUGUUAGUAUUGUACUUAUUGGAAUGCUUAAUAAUAAUAGAAUAUAUAUUGUAUCAGUUAAUUCUGUUCCAUUAGAUUGGUUGGUUAUAAUUGUGACAAGACGAAAUGUUAUGGGAAACCAGUACUUUCCAUCGAUCUGGAUGAACAGAGAUUACUUUUGUAAGUAUGCAAAAUGGAUUGAGUCAGGCUGUUAUUUAUGCUGUGAGAGCAAAGAGAUUGUUUUCGAAGACUGUCAAAAAUACUUAGCUCAUGUGGUGCUAAAUGAUGUUGUUUGGAGUAGUGUGAAUAAUGUCGAAAGAGUUAGACUUUUCUUGAUGUCUUCCUUGAAAGUAUACCUGGAUUGCCUUCAGGCAGAGAUAUGAGGUUCAUUAUUGAUUUGUUGCCAGGUAUAAAUUUAUAUUGGAGAUUGGUUCAGGAUGAGUUAUGGGAAUUGGAAAUUCAGUUGAAAGAAUUGGUUGAUAAAAGUUUCAUUCAACCUAGUAGAACACUUUUGAGGAGCCCCAGUUUGUUGGUGAGGAAGAAAAUGGAUCUUGAGACUGUUCAUUGAUUAUAGACAAUGGAGUCGGGUAACGAUUGAGAACCGUUACCCAUGGUGAUGUACUGAUGUUUAUUUAACCAGCUCAGAAGUAAUUGCGAAGAUUCAAAGAUUGAAUUGAGAUCUGGUUACUACCAAUUGAAUAUUAUAAGUGACGUUGAUCAUAAGAUGGUUUUCUGGACUCGUUAUAGUCUUUAUGAAGUUUGGUGAUGCUAUAUGGAUACUCAUGCUGUUUUAUGAGUUGAUGGAUGAAGUAUUCCAAUAAUGCCUUGAUAAAUAGAUAUCAUUUUCAUUGAAGAUAUUCUGGCAUAUUCUGAGCCAGAUCAGAGCAUGUAAACGUAUUAAGUCGGUGGAACAAAGAUUGGAAGAAUGUCGGUUGUAUGCUAAGUAGCAAAUGCUAAAGUUAGAUGAAUCAGGUGGCAUUCUGAGAUUUGUUAUAUAUUCUUAAGGUAUUCAAGUGAAUCCUUAAAAGAUAGCAGAAAUUGAGGAAUUAGAACAACCACGAACUGUAAUUGAGAUUCGGAAUUUCUUAGCUUACCAGGCUAUCUUGGAUGGUUGUGAAAGAUUUUUCAGUCAUUGCUUUGUCAUUGACGAGACUGUUGAGAAAAGAGGUUAUGUAUGAGUGGGAAGGAAAUUGUGAGCAAAGGAUUCAACAACUGAAGUAUUUCCUCACUCAUGCACGUAUUUUAGUAAUCCUAGAAGAUAGUGGUAAUCAUAAAUUUUUAGUGAUGUUUCUUGAAUGGUAUUGGAGGCAUGUUGAUGCAAAUAUUAGGGUGAUUGUAUAUGUUUCACGACAAAUGGAACCUCAUGAGAUGAAUUACCCUACUGGUGAUUUGGAAGUCACGAUUAUCAUCCUUGCUGUGAAGUUAUGGAGACAUUAUAUGUUGAUAGAAUGCAAGAUUUUACAAAUCAAAAGAGUCUCCAAUAUUUGUUUACUCGGAAGGAUUUUGAUAUGAGGCAACAAAGGUGGAUUGAAUUACUUAGUGAUUAUGAUUGUACGAUCAGGGUGAUCGUGAAUUGUUGUAGCUGAAGCACUUGAUGAGAAGACUCCAGUAAGAAUUAAUGCUUGGUACGUUUGCCAAGAGUAUCAUCUUGUGGAUUGAAAACCAAUGGAAGAAAAAUUAAAAAUGGAAGAUCGAGAAGAAGUUAUACUUGUUAAAUUUCAAGUUAAGUCUAUUUGGUAAGGUCGUACUCGAGACUCAAAUGCUUGACGAAGGAAUUCAAGAAUUAACCGAGGCAGAAUUGGAUGGUAUGUUUAUGCAAGAGAAUGGGACGUAUGUGCCAAAUUAUGUGGAAUUAAAGAAAGCAAUUUUGACGAUGUACACUGUUAAGUUUUUGGGUAUGUUGGUUACUUCUAAGUUUUGGAUAGCGUAUAAGAAGCUUGGUUACCAAGUUACCUUAUAGUACACCUUUGUGUUGGACAGAAGUUGUCAAAAGAGUUCUUACGGGCCCUGAGACUAUGGAUGAGUCUCCUCAAAAUAUUCAGGUGAGUAAGUUAACCUGAAAGUAGCCAGGAAUGACAAAAGAGAUUAACAGAUGGAUAUGCCACUAAUCGAGUGUAUAACGUAGAUGAUUUUAUAUUUUUGGAAAUUUCAUCAUGAAAAGAAAUAGUAAGAUUUGGAAAGUAGACAAGAUAAGAUUUAAACACAUCAGACCGUUUUGAUCAUUAAAAGAAUCGAUGAAGUUGCAUACAAGUUUGUGAUGCCUUCAGAAUUGGCUAAGGCACAUAAUGUAUUUUGUGUUCGAUGCGUUGUCACUAGGUGACAGAUUUGUCACAUGGGAUUAUGGUGUAACUAUUGAGAAUUAAAUUGGAUUCGACUUGAUAAGGAACCAAAGACGACUUUGGAUUGGAAAAGAAGGUCCUGAGAAUUAAGACAGAGUAAGCAGUAAAAGCUUUGUGAAGGAAAUCAUUCAGUAGAAAAGUAUGUGGGAGAAAGAGAAUCAGAUGAGAAAGAUUUAUCCGAGGCUAUUGUAUGAGUAUAGAUGAUUUGGUUGGUUGCUGGAAUUUCGGGGACGAAAUUCUAUAAGGAGGGGAGAUUGUCACAGCCCGUCCCGGAAUUUUUAAUUCCGAGGACGUGAAAUUACAAAAACGCCCUUAAACGGGAUUAAGGUGCGUAAUUUUGGUGUUUGUUUUACUUAAAAUUUCUAAGCUAUUGUUGUGUUGGACUUUAGGUAGGGUCCUAUACCCUAAUUUCCUCCCCAUUUUUCGUAACCUUUCCUUCUCUUUCUUCUUCUUCCAUUUCAGAUCUCUCUCUCUCUCUCUCACCCUCUCGAACACACGGCAACCACCAAGAACCACCACAAUCUUGUACCAACGUUCCAUUUAAGACCACCAUCGUGAUCCUGGGGACUUCACGAGCACGGGGAUACCAAUUUCAGGUGAGUUUCACUUCGAAAACCCUAGUUCUAAAGUUGCCGUGAGAUGACACUGUUCAUGAGCUUUGAAUUGGUUACGUUUUAGGCUAAAACAAGAUCACAACGAGUUUAUUAAGGUCCCAAGGAAGCUUGGAGUGCUUCGUUGGAAGUUUUUGGACGUAAGAACACGGAGAUCGACAAGUUCAAAGUUUGGCCGGAGCUUUCGAGGCGUUUUCCGGCGAAUCCCUGGCGAGUUAGGAGUCGAGGUAGGUAUCAAUCUCUUCGUCUCGUCAAGUACUACAACUUUCCUUUUUGUUUCACUCAAUUUCGUUGAGUAUUGAAGAAGUUAUACUCAUUUGAAAAAUACCCAGUUUCCGGCGACCUCCGAGGCUUUCGAGGCAGUUUCCGGCCAAACUACGGCGAACUAGGUGUUGUGCAAGGUACCAUUCUCUUUGUCUCUUCAAGGGCUACAACUUUAGUUUUUGAAUCACUUGAUUUCGUUGAGAAAUGACAAAGUUAUGGCAAUUUGAAAAACUGCCCGGAAAACGGCCGCCGGAAAAACCAGUCCGGCGACCCAAGGAAGAAGAAGGUGCUACAGUAAAAAUAAAAAAUAAAAAUAAAAUUAUUUUAAAAAUAUGUCGACGUCCGUGACGUCGAGUAGAUCACUGUGGUAUAUUCAUAUACCUAAAUUGAACACCGUAUGAGAAAGUUAUUGAGGAUUGUUGGUUAGGUGUUCAAAUAACGUUUUAUAAUUUUCACAUUAGGUGAAAAUGUGAAUUGAUGAUCCGACCGUUGGAUCAUCACCAAACUUUGAUACGUUGCAAUACGUAAUAUUUGAGGAUUAUUGGAACUUACAGAUUGGGAAUCCGAUUUGCGGAUCUUCCGGAAUUGGAAUUGUAAGUCCAUAAUAUAAAAUGUUAACCGUCACUUAGUUUUGGAAAUUGACGGAGAUCCGACCGUUGGAUGGUAAUGAAAUUUUAGGAUGUUGUCCUAGAGGUAUAAUGUGGACCUCUGGAAGUUAUGGAUUUAAAAUCUGAGGGGUGGAUCUUCCGGAUCAAUCUACGUAGUGACGUAUUUUAUAUAAGUUAUAUAUUCUAUCGAUAUGAAUUCUGAGGUUGGAUUUGAUUACUAUUCUAGGCGGCGAUCGUCGUGACGCCUUGAUGUGUGGUGCUAGGGAGUUGUUGGACGAAACUCCAGGUGAGUGGGCAGUUUUGUUUUCCGUAUAUAUAUAUAUACUUAACGUUUUCCCAGAAAUUGAAAAUGCAUGAAAUUAUGUUUAAAAUGAAAUGCAUAUGAGUUAUGUGGAAAAACGGGAAGUGAAAUACCAUGCAUAGAAUUGAUAUGAAAAGUAUAUAGAAAUGUGAGUUGAAAUGCCAUGCAUGAAUUAAUAUAUGAUGCUUAUGUAUGAAUUGGUGCGGUGGACGCACAGGUAAGAAUUGAUUUAUGAUGCAUAUGUAUGAAAUGGUGCGGUGGACGCACAGAUGAGUAUUUAAUUACUGUUAUGAUGAUGAUGAUAUAUAUUGAGCUCAAAUCCUGCACCAUGGUUUAGUGCUUAUAGUAUUCACCGCAUCGCACACGCUCGCCUUGGAUCCAAGUAGAUGCUAGUCGUACAGUCCACGCGGAGUGGGUACGACAGACCAGUCGCGAGAGUGUUAGUGAGAUUCCGACUGGUGGGUGACCUUAGAUUAUGUGCACAGAUGAUUUAUGAGAAGCACUAGAGCGUAACUUGUGUGCAGAAGGCCGGACGGGUCACAGAGGUGACUCCGGUAGAGAGUGAUAAUGAUAGAUUUUGAGCUCUAGGUUCAACCGUAUAGGGCUAUUAGAGGGCCUACGGUUGAUUACUUUCUUGCACCUGAUAUGAUUAUGUUGAUGCAUUCAUACCUUAUUACUGUUGAGAUGAUGUGGCAUGGCAUAAUUAAUAUGAGAAAUGUUGAGAUGACAUGGCAUGGCAUGAUUGAUAAAGAGAUAAUGUUGAGAUAGUAAAAAUGAAGUUUUGAGAUUAUAUAUGUAUAUUUAUAUUUUACAUUUCUGGGAAAGUAUACAGGUUUUACGGAGAGGGGUUACAACGUUUUGAGAAAUGUUUGGAUUUGGAAAAGAAUUGUUUUACUGACCCACUCAAUUUUGGUUUUGCGCCCCUCCAGGUUCAGGAAUCACAAAGGUGUGGUGACUACGAGGAAUACAGCGGGGUUCUGACAGAUUUGGACAAAAUUAGGACUCACCUUCGGGUGUAUCAACUUAUAAAUUGUAUCUUAAAGCUUCCGUACUGUGCAAAUGGUUACGUCACUCUCACGUGACGGCCAGCAUGCCCUCCUUCGGGACGGGGUGUGUCAUUAUACAACAUUACUUAAUUACUUAAAAAAAUUAACAUGUAAUUGUUAACAUUACUUAACUACUUACAAAAAUUAACAUGCAAGUAUUAAUUACUUAAAAAAAUUAACAU
rnacentral:lncRNA from 1 species